rnacentral:rRNA from 1 species
GACGAACGCUGGCGGCGUGCUUAACACAUGCAAGUCGAACGGAAAGGCCCUGCUUUUGUGGGGUGCUCGAGUGGCGAACGGGUGAGUAACACGUGAGUAACCUGCCCUUGACUUUGGGAUAACUUCAGGAAACUGGGGCUAAUACCGGAUAGGAGCUCCUGCUGCAUGGUGGGGGUUGGAAAGUUUCGGCGGUUGGGGAUGGACUCGCGGCUUAUCAGCUUGUUGGUGGGGUAGUGGCUUACCAAGGCUUUGACGGGUAGCCGGCCUGAGAGGGUGACCGGGCACAUUGGGACUGAGGUACGGCCCAGACUCCUACGGGAGGCAGGAGUGGGGAAUAUUGCAACAUGGGCGGAAGCCUGAUGCAGCAACGCCGCGUGCGGGAUGACGGCCUUCGGGUUGUAAACCGCUUUCGCCUGUGACGAAGCGUGAGUGACGGUAAUGGGUAAAGAAGCACCGGCUAACUACGUG